rnacentral:rRNA from 1 species
GGCUUAGAGUUUGAUCAUGGCUCAGGAUGAACGCUAGCUACAGGCUUAACACAUGCAAGUCGAGGGGCAGCAUGAACUUAGCUUGCUAAGUUUGAUGGCGACCGGCGCACGGGUGAGUAACACGUAUCCAACCUGCCGAUGACUCGGGGAUAGCCUUUCGAAAGAAAGAUUAAUACCCGAUGGCAUAGUUCUUCCGCAUGGUGGAACUAUUAAAGAAUUUCGGUCAUCGAUGGGGAUGCGUUCCAUUAGGUUGUUGGCGGGGUAACGGCCCACCAAGCCUUCGAUGGAUAGGGGUUCUGAGAGGAAGGUCCCCCACAUUGGAACUGAGACACGGUCCAAACUCCUACGGGAGGCAGCAGUGAGGAAUAUUGGUCAAUGGACGAGAGUCUGAGCCAGCCAAGUAGCGUGAAGGAUGACUGCCCUAUGGGUUGUAAACUUCUUUUAUACGGGAAUAAAGUGAGGCACGUGUGCCUUUUUGUAUGUACCGUAUGAAUAAGGAUCGGCUAACUCCGUGCCAGCAGCCGCGGUAAUACGGAGGAUCCGAGCGUUAUCCGGAUUUAUUGGGUUUAAAGGGAGCGUAGGCGGACGCUUAAGUCAGUUGUGAAAGUUUGCGGCUCAACCGUAAAAUUGCAGUUGAUACUGGGUGUCUUGAGUACAGUAGAGGCAGGCGGAAUUCGUGGUGUAGCGGUGAAAUGCUUAGAUAUCACGAAGAACUCCGAUUGCGAAGGCAGCUUGCUGGACUGUAACUGACGCUGAUGCUCGAAAGUGUGGGUAUCAAACAGGAUUAGAUACCCUGGUAGUCCACACAGUAAACGAU